rnacentral:tRNA from 3 species
UCCCCGGUAGCUCAGUUGGUAGAGCGAUUGACUGUUAAUCAAUUGGUCGCUGGUUCGAGUCCGGCCCGGGGAGCCA